rnacentral:lncRNA from 1 species
GGAGGUCGCAGCCAUUUUUGUAUUUAAAUGGACAACAAAGACCACAAAAAUUGACGGAAUGAGAAGGAUACAUUCAGAAUCCCCCCCCCCCAACUCUCCCCUAAAACCCCUCUAAACCCAUAUACAAAUCAGUCCAUAAAUUCAUAUAACAAAACACUAUAAAAACACUAAAAACAAAAAUAUUAAAGUCUUUUGUGCCACCCACAUAGAAGCCGUCAAGGGAGAGUUUUGUCGUCACUCACGAAGGGCGGCGCCACCUAAAACGCGACAAAACAAAGAAGUUUCGAAUUAAGUUUCGAAUUAAAGGUACAUCAUCCAAAAUACCUCUAUUCGAAAUCAUCCACAUAUCAUUUAUACAUACACAUCAUUAUGCUUAAUAACCAUCUAAACUACUCUUGAAUCCAAUGUCCAUUUCGACUAAGCAAACAAACAAUUUGUUUUAAAAAACAACCAACGGAGGAGUGAAAUAAGCUUCUGAAAUCAAAUGAAAGUUGCUAGAAAAUAUGUUAACAAAGGGACUUAUGGCCAUGUUUCACCAUUUUCCCACUAAGGACAAAGAUAACUAUGAAACUCGUAACAUAAUCAAGCUAAAAUAUGGAUUUUCCGGCCAAAUAAUGUUGCUUAAAUGUUUUUUAAAGUAGUAAAAUAGUAGAGUUUUUCAAACUAAAAGUUUUUUUCAUAAACAUCUUGACUACUACUCUGAUUUCAGUAACAAAACAAAUCUAAGUUUCAUCUUAGACAACUCCUCAACAAACAAAACCCUUAUUUUUACUUAGAAAAGUUAGAGAUUAGUCGUUUUACCUCCCAAAGGCAAUCUUCUCUAUUCCUCUUGUUUUUCUAGAGCCAAUCGACUCUAUCAAUUUUCGAAGAACUAA